AGCGAACGCUGGUGGCAGGCUUAACACAUGCAAGUCGAGCGGGCGUAGCAAUACGUCAGCGGCAGACGGGUGAGUAACGCGUGGGAACGUACCUUUUGGUUCGGAACAACACAGGGAAACUUGUGCUAAUACCGGAUAAGCCCUUACGGGGAAAGAUUUAUCGCCGAAAGAUCGGCCCGCGUCUGAUUAGCUAGUUGGUGAGGUAACGGCUCACCAAGGCGACGAUCAGUAGCUGGUCUGAGAGGAUGAUCAGCCACAUUGGGACUGAGACACGGCCCAAACUCCUACGGGAGGCAGCAGUGGGGAAUAUUGGACAAUGGGGGCAACCCUGAUCCAGCCAUGCCGCGUGAGUGAUGAAGGCCCUAGGGUUGUAAAGCUCUUUUGUGCGGGAAGAUAAUGACGGUACCGCAAGAAUAAGCCCCGGCUAACUUCGUG
rnacentral:rRNA from 1 species